AGGUUUAAAGUUAGUAGCAAUUGCGGGUUCGAGUGCAACGAAGAUAAAGUUUACUUAAAGCAACAAUUGAGCAGAAAAUAUGAGGAAGGACCAGUGGGAAGUGUCAGGUGGUGUUUAAAAUCUUCUAAAAGGUCUGGGUAUAAUAAGCGCAUGUAGAUUGGUAGAUCAAAGAACCAAGAUUGCCCGAAGUGGACAGUGGAGACGUAGCAUAUGGUCUUGGUAGUAGGAUGACUACGCGCCUAAGGGGAGUUUGGAAUGGUCUAGGAUUUUAGCGAUGGACAAUUGAAGUCAGCGAGUUUAAUUCAAAGUAUGGCUUUGUCACGACCCUAGUUCACAAAUCGUGAACCUGUCA
rnacentral:lncRNA from 1 species